AGGUGAACCUGCGGAAGGAUCAUUACCGAGUGCGGGUCCUUUGGGCCCAACCUCCCAUCCGUGUCUAUUGUACCCUGUUGCUUCGGCGGGCCCGCCGCUUGUCGGCCGCCGGGGGGGCGCCUCUGCCCCCCGGGCCCGUGCCCGCCGGAGACCCCAACACGAACACUGUCUGAAAGCCUGCAGUCUGAGUUGAUUGAAUGCAAUCAGUUAAAACUUUCAACAAUGGAUCUCUUGGUUCCGGCAUCGAUGAAGAACGCAGCGAAAUGCGAUAACUAAUGUGAAUUGCAGAAUUCAGUGAAUCAUCGAGUCUUUGAACGCACAUUGCGCCCCCUGGUAUUCCGGGGGGCAUGCCUGUCCGAGCGUCAUUGCUGCCCUCAAGCCCGGCUUGUGUGUUGGGUCGCCGUCCCCCUCUCCGGGGGGACGGGCCCGAAAGGCAGCGGCGGCACCGCGUCCGAUCCUCGAGCGUAUGGGGCUUUGUCACAUGCUCUGUAGGAUUGGCCGGCGCCUGCCGACGUUUUCCAACCAUUCUUUCCAGGUGACCUCGAUCAGGUAGG
rnacentral:rRNA from 1 species